rnacentral:rRNA from 1 species
UACGAAGGGUGCAAGCGUUAAUCGGAAUUACUGGGCGUAAAGGGUGCGUAGGCGGUUUGUCGCGUCUGCUGUGAAAACUGGGGGCUCAACCCCCAGCCUGCAGUGGGUACGGGCAGACUAGAGUGCGGUAGGGGAGAUUGGAAUUCCUGGUGUAGCGGUGGAAUGCGCAGAUAUCAGGAGGAACACCGGUGGCGAAGGCGGGUCUCUGGGCAGUAACUGACGCUGAGGAGCGAAAGCGUGGGGAGCGAACAGG